UUUUUGGUUACUCGGUCUGCCCUGUCGUUGGAUUUUGCAAUUUUCAGAAGGACGCUGGCGGCUUCUUCCAACUUUCCCACGGAGAAAAGCCACCUCGGAGACUCGGGAAGGUAAAACCAGUAGAGGAAUAGCAGUGCUCCAGCCGACAACCAUUCUCUGCAAAACCAAACGACCAGUGGCAAAGUUGCCAUUCCGACCACCCAAAUCAUCCACGUCACGGCAUAAACAUGGCCUCUGUACUCUGUAAGCACACAUAAAACUAUGAAAAGUGACUAACGUGGCAUGGUGAGGUCUCAUUUACACAUAUGUAAAUAAGUCAUAUCAAACGUACUCACCCUUGUCGCAAAUUUCAGCCAGGAUCAUUGACGGGGCAAUAAACAUCUUAAUAUUGCCCAUUGCAAGGAGAGAGCAAUUAUUAGAAAGUAAUACUUAAUGGUUUUAUUAACUGAAGUGUAUUUCAAAUUACCAUUGGAAAAGCAGUCCCAGCAAUAAAUUGGGUAAUAUGAAACAUUA